UGGGGUGUGGCCAAGUGGUAAGGCAACGAGUUUUGAUCCCACUAUGCAAAGGUUUGAAUCCUUCCGUAUCAG
rnacentral:tRNA from 1 species